rnacentral:rRNA from 1 species
CGGGUUCCGGGGGGAGUAUGGUCGCAAGGCCGAACUUAAGGAAUUGACGAAGGGCACCACCAGGAGUGGAAUCUGCGGCUUAAUUUGACCCAACGCGGGAAAACUCACCAGGUCAGGACACGGUAAGGAUUGACGGACUGAAGGCUCUUUCUCGAUUCCGUGGAAAGUGGUGCAUGGCCGUUUUUGGUUGGUGGAUCGAUCCGUCUGGUUAAUUCCGUUAACGAACGAGACCUCGGCACUCCGAAUAGCGCGGCGGACGUCGCGGCCUCCGGGCCGUCUUCCGCACGAGCUUCUUAGAGGGACCGUCCCCCGCCGGGGAAGGAGGUGCGAGGCAACGACAGGUCUGUGAUGCCCUUAGAUGUUCUGGGCCGCACGCGCAUUACACUGACGCGUCCAACGGGUGACUCCCGACCCGAAGGGGCCGGGGAAUCCGCAAGGCGCGUCGUGAUGGGGAUUGAACGUUGCAAUUGUUGUUCACGAACGAGGAAUUCCUAGUAGGCGCGGGUCAUCAACCCGCGCCGAUUACGUCCCUGC